rnacentral:lncRNA from 1 species
CAAAUUAAGGCUGAGCCUCUACCAAUAGGGAGCUCCCCAGAUUGAAUCCAGACUAAUGCAGGCAUUAUUUCAUAGCUGAGUUUUGAUUCCUGUUAAAGCCUAUGCUACUGUUUAUAUUCCAAUUAGGAAAAUAAGCUAUAUGAAAGCAAAUCAAACAUGUUCAUAAGUGAUCCCAACGCUAACAAGCAAAUACACACAUCAACAGGGAUUAAUUGGCCUAGCGUAUGCUAUUCUACUAAAAUAAAAUUCGAACAGGCCUAAAGAACAACCAUAAUAGUCCUAUAAAAGUCUGAUUCUACGUUCAAUUAAGGUAAAUCAAAUUCAUGUUCCCUGGCCAAACAAACUGAAAUUUAUUAUCAAAACAUGGAUAACUUUCGCAUUAAUAGAGAAAACUACGCUUCAACCCACGAUAUACUAACACCAUAUUGAAUCCAAUUACCAUCACUAAUUAAAUGAGCCAAGCUAACAGUCUGUGAAAUGGCAAAAUUAAACAAAGUAGUACAUGUCCAAAUAGUAAGCUGUUCAGUCCAGAUUUCAAACUCAAGUCAUUACAUAAUUCCAAAGUGAUUGCAGCUGAAACAAUAAUGCAUAGCCUUGAUCCAUCACUUUAUUUCAAUUCUAUGGGAAUACAUCACUUGUGAGGUCGAAACAUGUACUUGGAAAUGGAAUUCAAAGUAGAAGAAGGUAAUCAGCAGCAGGAGAAGAAAUUCAUGCAGCAACAGCCCUUUUUAUGAGUCAACAGCCAUACUAAAACAACCCAGAACCUUUGAAUAAUAAAUCAACACACUCGAGUAACAGAUUUAAAGUAAAAUCCAAUAUGCCAACUCAAUUAGCACCCAGUCGAUUUGACAUUGCACCCAAAAUCCAACCAGUAAACCCAGAAUCAAUAUGAACCAACACUGAUCAGCUGAUUUAAUGAAACAAUGAUCUCUUUUUUUGUUGUUUUCUAUUUUUGUAUGUUUUUUUUGGGUAUUUUUUGUGUGUUUAAAUGCUGAAACUAUUCUGAAGAUAAAAAUGAAGAUGAAAAUAGAUUUCUUGUGGAAUUUCUUAGAUGAAAAAUUUAAGACCUCUUUCUCAAGGAAAUUAGUGCCCUUUUAUAGGAGCAAAAUAGGGCAGCCCUCAGUUUUUAGGCUUGCACCCUCAGUCCCUGAUUAUUUACAUCUUAAAACCUUUAUUUUAUGACUUGCUACUCAAGUUAAUACCCUAAGUCUAUUGAGAAAUACAAACUAGUCCUAUUCUAGAAGCCUCUAGGGCACUCUUUGAGCAAGGCAGUCCCUAAACUACCCUUCCCAUGUUUCACAUUUACUAUUUUAAAAGAUUCUGCCAUUUCAUAUGCCUAACUACCCUUCUAACAGCCCCAAGAUUACAUCUCACUAACUGACCCAGCGCUUUAACCCAUAGUUAAGAACAUGACUGCAGUUACCUAACAAAAGAACUUCUUCAGCUAUAACCAAUAUUAUCAGCCUACAAACUAACAGGGAUUAACAUUAACACGUGGAGAAAUUACUAACUGAAAUUAAAAUAAUCUAAAACUCAAAUUAUGUAGAAUAUACUUGACGAUUGAUUAUUUAAUCAAAACUAAAAUUAUCAGAAACUAACCUAAUUAGCUAAGAAGAUUAAAAACUUGAAUCAAAAGAGAAAAAGAAGAGCGGUCAAAAUACAGAAGCUAAAACAAAACAAAAUUAAAUACACACACUAAUUUAGAAGAAAAAUAAACCAAUCAUUCAAGACGACGUAAAAUCUAGUGAACAAAUAAAGGGACAAACUAAGCACAAAGUUAAGAAAAAUCAAAAAUCGACACUGAAAAUAAUCUAAACUAACGGGAAUAAAGCUUAACUUGUAAUGAUUCUAAGACGACGUAAAAGAAGGAGAUGAAUCAGAUUCAUAACAGGAAAUAGAGAAUUGGAAACUAAAAAGACGACCUAACUAAACUGACGACUAUUGUUCAAAUUAAUUAUGAGAAAACAAAUGAAAGAAUCAAGGAAAUAAAGAAAUUAAAAACUAAUCAAGAAAAUUUACCCUCGCACUAUGCCCGGAACAAACUCGCAACGGAGUCGACACCCCGUUAAUGUUUUUUACCCAUUAAACUAGAAUAAGAAAAUAACAUUAAUAGGAAAUCGACUCAACUUCAAAAUCUUCAAAAAAAAAGACCCAAGCUGGCGAACCCAGCUUUCCCAGUUAAUUAUUCUCAGAGGGUUUUGAGAGGUUUUAAUCACAAAUUUAUGGUGAAGGAGGUCUGAGGAACCAUUGGUAGCAAUUUUGUAAAGUUUGGGGCGGAUUAGGGUUUUGGCCAAUUUUUAGAUUUGAAUUUACAGAACUUUGGCUGGAUUUUGGAAGAAGGUAACUGUGGGAAUGGAAUAACGGUGAGGAGAGGAUUGUAGGGUAGAGUUUUGGGGUUGAUUGGAGCUCCGUCGCCGGCAGAGACGAUUUCCGACGGCAUCAAUGGUGGAGUAACAGAGAAGAUGAGUCGAGGAAGAUGAUGGCUCGAUGAAGAGAGGUUUGGUCGUUUGACUUAAUACAUGACUUAUUACAUAUAAAUGUAAAAUGGCUUAUCACUUCCGGACCGUCGAUUUGAAAGCUUGAACAGCUGAGAUCAAAACGAGGGGGGGUCUCGGACGACGUCGUUUGGCUGCUAAUGAACCAAACUGGUCGGGCGGCUAAAAAGCCUGGG